GACAGAGGAUGCAAGCGUUAUCCGGAAUGAUUGGGCGUAAAGCGUCUGUAGGUGGCUUUUUAAGUCCGCCGUCAAAUCCCAGGGCUCACCCCUGGACAGGCGGUGGAAACUACCAAGCUGGAGUACGGUAGGGGCAGGAGGGAAUUUCCGGUUGGAGCGGUGAAAUGCGUAGAGAUCGGAAAGAACACCAACGGCGAAGGCACUCUGCUGGGCCGACACUGACACUGACAGACGAAAGCUAGGGGAGCGAAAGGUUG
rnacentral:rRNA from 1 species